AUAGCGUAUAUUAAAGUUGUUGCAGUUAAAAAGCUCGUAGUUGAACUUCAGACCUGGCCGGGCGGUCUGCCUCACGGCAUGUACUGUCUGGCCGGGCCUUACCUCUUGGUGAGCCGGCAUGUCCUUUACUGGGUGUGUCGGGGAACCAGGACUUUUACUUUGAGAAAAUUAGAGUGUUCAAAGCAGGCCUAUGCCCGAAUACAUUAGCAUGGAAUAAUAGAAUAGGACGUGCGGUUCUAUUUUGUUGGUUUCUAGAGUCGCCGUAAUGAUUAAUAGGGAUAGUUGGGGGCAUUAGUAUUCAGUUGCUAGAGGUGAAAUUCUUGGAUUUACUGAAGACUAACUUUUG
rnacentral:rRNA from 1 species